rnacentral:lncRNA from 1 species
GCUUCAAAUGUAGUCUUUCAAAAAAAAAUAUAUAUAUAUAUAUAUAUUCAUAAUUGUAAAGAAGAAACUCAAGAAAGAGAUCAAGGAGAACAUAUAGAUUUUAUCAGAUUGAGGAAAAUAAAAGAAAGAAAAUAAAAACCAGAUUUUCUCAUAAUAUUAAGGGCAGAAUUGGAACAUUAAAUGUCACAUCCCGACCCUUAUAUUUUUACCUUAUUUACUAGCGUGAUUAUAAUAAGAAUUUUACCGUCUUGAUCAUGAGUAAAUAGUUUAAUUGGUCCCUAGAGGGGUUUCGGGGACGAUUAUGUGCGGAGGAUUAUUCGUAUGAUGAAAAUACGACGACGGUAAAAAUAGUAAAUUUUAGCUAGUAAAAGGUAAUUUUUAUUCGGGUAUUAUUUUUCGGGGUGUUGAAUUUUGGAAUUUUGGGUUAAAAGGAGUGUUGGGUCGGCUGGGCCGAGCCCAACCCAUUUCUUCUUCCUUUCUCUCUCUCCCUCCCGUUUUCUCUCUUCCCACCCGCAUUUCUUCUCCCUCCACCCGGAAAAAUUCACCACCGCAGCCCGCCGCCGUCCGGCCACCAGCUGCCGCCGCUCCAGCCCAGAUCGGACCCCCGUCACCUCCUCUCCCUCCCCGGCCUAGCCCCCGAGCCUCUAACCCGCCGGAGAGGAGAAAAAGCCGCCGGAACCGCCGACUGUGUCUUCGCCGGAGCUCCGUCCUCCGGCCACCAUAGGUCGUGAUUUUUGGCUCAACUUGUAGCCCUCAUCUAGGUGAGUAAUCCCUCAAAAGGUUUCGGCUAAAUUCGUUUUCGUUAGGGAGGUUUGUUUAAUUGAAAGUUUUAAGGAUUUAUGGUUGUUUGUGUUCGAUCGACAUGGUUAGGCUUAGAAUUGGAGUUUGUGGUAGUUAGAAAUGUUGUAGAGGAGGUUGAGAGGAAGAUGCUGCCAAUUUUUGGUGAGCAUAGGAGGUCGCCGGAAAACGGCUGCCGGCGCCGGUUAGGAGAUUUUUAGGGUUUUAAAUGUGGAAUAUUAAGAGGAGUAUAUUGGUGUGAAUUAUGGAAUUUUUGGAUGAGAUUUGGAUAGGUUUGUGAAUUUCCGAAGUUUGAUAUUUUUGACGGUUAAUUAAUGUAGAAUCCGGCCGUAAGAUUUAAGUCGUAUUUUGGGGAGGUUGUAUUUACGACUGUUGAGUAUGAUAUUUAAGUUCGGAUCGUUCCGAUGUAAGAAUAUCGAAGUUAGGCAUUGAUGAGCGUAAUUAUGGCUCUCGGGUAAUUUUGCCUAUUUUGAUUAAAUAUUGGAUUAUUGGUUGGGAAAUUAAUAUUUUAUUUGGAACAGGACGUGAGGAGGCUCGAGCAGACGAGACCCCAGAUCGACAGCAGGCUUAGGCCUAAUUUGUGAGUGGACUUUUGUUUUAAAUAAAUGCAUGCUAAGUUCACGAUUGAAUAAUUAAUGUCGUGGAGUAUUUUGCCGUCAAUUAAUUUUGACGCUUUUAUUUCUCUGAGAGAGAGUUACCGAAAAUGGGAUUUCGGUGAAUAUAAAUAUGUAUAUAUGAGAGAGUAUGUAUAAAAAAUAAGCUAGCUAGCCAUAUGUGUCUGUCCNNNNNNNNNNNNNNNNNNNNAAAUUGCCCAGUCUGCAGAGUUCGGGUUGGAUCUAGUAGGAGACGAGGCAUAGUCACCCGCAUUUCUGCCAGUUUUCGCCAGUAGGUUACAUGUUCAACCUACUCGUGUUUUCUUGCUUCCGCUUGUGUUUAGUAGCUCUGAAUACUUUGGGAUUAUUGUAUAUUAUGUGAGGUUCGGAAGUGUUGAAUUAAGAGUGUAAUAUGAAAUUUUCGAGUUAGGGUUGUCCAUCUGCAAGGGAGAUUUUCUUAAUCUUUUCAGUAAAUUUUCCUUGGAGGUGGUCCCCGCACGACUUACUCUGGGUUUCAGGGUGAAAUUCGGGGUGGGUCGUGUCAUUAAAAGUAAAAAAUAAAACAUGGGGUGAACUAAACAUUUAGUGAGGUAGAAAUAGUCGCACCUUUUUGUCAAUUGUGUGAGGGAGAUAAUGACGUCCGAUUACUGCAAGUUGUAGUUCACCUUCUGACCUUAUAGUAGUGUUUGAUGGGAACAAACCAUGGAUUUCGGAAUGGGUAUACGGCCCACUGUAUCAUUGGGCUUGGGACAAACACAACUUACUUCAAAAGACCCAAACAGAGGCCCGAGGCAUGGAUACAUUGGUCCUUGAUUUCUCCCUUUUCCAGAUCUAUUUCAAUGAAUCAAUCA